rnacentral:rRNA from 1 species
AAUAGAUACCCAGGUAGUCCACGCCGUAAACGAUGAAUGCUAGGUGUUAGGGGUUUCGAUACCCUUGGUGCCGAAGUUAACACAUUAAGCAUUCCGCCUGGGGAGUACGGUCGCAAGACUGAAACUCAAAGGAAUUGACGGGGACCCGCACAAGCAGUGGAGUAUGUGGUUUAAUUCGAAGCAACGCGAAGAACCUUACCAGGUCUUGACAUCCCUCUGAAUCCUCUAGAGAUAGAGGCGGCCUUCGGGACAGAGGAGACAGGUGGUGCAUGGUUGUCGUCAGCUCGUGUCGUGAGAUGUUGGGUUAAGUCCCGCAACGAGCGCAACCCUUGAUUUUAGUUGCCAGCACAUUAAGGUGGGCACUCUAGAAUGACUGCCGGUGACAAACCGGAGGAAGGCGGGGAUGACGUCAAAUCAUCAUGCCCCUUAUGACCUGGGCUACACACGUACUACAAUGGCCAGUACAACGGGAAGCGAAGUCGCGAGACGGAGCCAAUCCUAUCAAAGCUGGUCUCAGUUCGGAUUGCAGG